GGCUGUCGUCAGCUCGUGUUGUGAAAUGUUGGGUUAAGUCCCGCAACGAGCGCAACCCUUAUCCUUUGUUGCCAGCGGUCCGGCCGGGAACUCAAAGGAGACUGCCAGUGAUAAACUGGAGGAAGGUGGGGAUGACGUCAAGUCAUCAUGGCCCUUACGACCAGGGCUACACACGUGCUACAAUGGCGCAUACAAAGAGAAGCGACCUCGCGAGAGCAAGCGGACCUCAUAAAGUGCGUCGUAGUCCGGAUUGGAGUCUGCAACUCGACUCCAUGAAGUCGGAAUCGCUAGUAAUCGUGGAUCAGAAUGCCACGGUGAAUACGUUCCCGGGCCUUGUACACACCGCCCGUCACACCAUGGGAGUGGGUUGCAAAAGAAGUAGGUAGCUUAACCUUCGGGAGGGCGCUUACCACUUUGUGAUUCAUGACUGGGGUGAAGUCGUAACAAGGUAACCGUAGGGGAACCUGCGGUUGGAUCAC
rnacentral:rRNA from 1 species